rnacentral:lncRNA from 1 species
GCAAACAAGGUCUGACAAGACAGGACGGGAUCUCAGUCCUCAUCCGGGUCGUACUCGGGGUUAUCCUUGGGGUCCUCCUCCACGUACUCCUCUUAAGGUUCCUCAACAGGGAUCUCCUCAUCAGAUUCAUGCUCCUUAGGCUCCUCAUCCAUGUCCUGAAAUGGUUAUUCAAUAACCACUGAGACAACGUCUCAGCAAGUUCUACCUCCUAAGACCCAAUUAGUAAACUAAUACACCUUAGGGCUACCUAUGCACAACAUGAGUUAGAGGACUUACCUUAGCCUCAGAUUCCACCUGCAUAUUAGCACAAAUCAAAUAGGCACCAAAACAAUGACAUCACAGAUCAAAGCAUCGAUCUAAUCGACUUAGUCGAUUACACGCCAACAAGACCACUCACGGUCACUUCCAUUCAAUCGAUCAAUUCACAACAUCAAACCAAGGCGAUGAAUCGCAUCAAGUCACACUCAGAUCGAAUCAUCGAUCAAUUGACCUAGUCGAUUACAAGCCAGUCGAAUCAUUUCUAGGUCAUUCAUCCCACACCAAGCAAUUCCUUGGAUUUAGUGGCUUUACAGUCCCACCCGACCCUCUCAAGAUCUAGUGGCUUUACGGUCCCACCCGACCCUUUCAAGAUUUAGUGGCUUUAUGGUCCCACCCGACCCUCUCAGGAUCUAGUGGCUUUACGGUCCCACCCGACCUUUCCAAGAUUUAGUGGCUUUAUGGUCCCACCCGACCUUUUCAAGAUUUAGUGGCUUUAUGGUCCCACCUGACCUUUUCAAGAUUUAGUGGCUUUAUGGUCCCACCCGACUCUCUCAAGAUUUAGUGGCUUUAUGGUCCCACCCGACCUCUUUCUACGAUAUCAUACUCUGUCACCGAGCCACGUGCAUUCUCUAGGAAGACAUACCGAGUCUCCGAGCCACGUGCAUUCUCUAAGGCUACAUUUUCGCCAAGAUGACAUACCUAAGCAUCGAGCCACGUGUCUUUCCCAGGUGACAUUCCAAUUCAUCGAGCCACAUGCAUUCUGCAGGUGAUUUACCAACUCACUUUCGAUACUGACAACCGAUACCCGACCAAUUCUCAAUCACAAGGCCAAAAUUGCAUUAUUUAAUAACAUAACUUAAAAAUGCACCAUUAAAUAAAUUCCACAAGAAUUAAAGCUUAAAUAAAUAAACGGACUGCUCCACAACAAUUAGCACGAAAUUCCGGUCAUUGGCCAUCCCAGUUGAAUUUCCGGAAAAUAAAUAAUUAAAUGAUUAAUUUUGAAAAUUAAUAAAUAAACAUAAUAAUUCCAAUUUAGCACAAUAUGAAGCUUAAUUAAAUAAACGGACUGCGUCACGAUCAUCAGCAUAAAAUCUCGGUCACUAGCCAUCCCAGUUGAAUUUCCGGAAAAUAAAUAAUUAAAUAAUUAAUUUCGAAAAUUAAUAUUUAAUUCCUAAAAAUUCCACCUAGGCCUGAUUUGCUUAAUUAACACCCGAUAAGGGACGGGAAACAUCCCAAGAAGCUUCCAAUAAAUACUAUAGGUAAUUCUCUAUCUAAUUACACUAAUCACACAACUAAUAAGCAAAUCAAUUAACUAAAAAUCACUAAUCAAUUAUAAUCUAACCACCUAAUUACACGUAAUUAGCACUAAUCAACCUUUAAGUAUAAUUAGUACACUAAGAAAGCAUUAGUGAGUAAAACUCACUCAAAACGACGAGCUCGACGCGAUGAUCGACUUUCCUCAAAGUGGGCCGAGCAUCUGGGCUCGGGAAGGCGGCCAAAACGGGCCAAAACCCCACUGUCAUACCCA